rnacentral:misc_RNA from 1 species
UUUCCGUAGGUGAACCUGCGGAAGGAUCAUUAACGAUUAAUGGUCAUUCUAGCCCGACCUCCAACCCUAUGUUUAAUUACUAUGUUUGUUUGGCGCGCCCGUUUCCCGACCGCCGGUAGACCUUGGACUUCUCGCCCCUGCCCGCCAAUAGCCUUCUACAAACUCGCGAUCAAUUGUGAUGUUUGGGUAAUAAAUUUAAUAGUUAAAACUUUCAACAACGGAUCUCUUGGUUCUG